rnacentral:rRNA from 1 species
UACGAAGGGGGCUAGCGUUGUUCGGAAUUACUGGGCGUAAAGGGCGCGUAGGCGGAUAGUUUAGUCAGAGGUAAAAGCCCAGGGCUCAACCUUGGAACUGCCUUUGAUACUGGCUAUCUUGAGUACGGGAGAGGUGUGUGGAACUCCGAGUGUAGAGGUGAAAUUCGUAGAUAUUCGGAAGAACACCAGUGGCGAAGGCGACACACUGGCCCGUUACUGACGCUGAGGCGCGAAAGCGUGGGGAGCAAACAGG